ensembl:lincRNA
CUUAUUUUUCUAUUUAAAUUAUUUAUUAUAAAAUCUUCUGUAGGUAACCCCAAAAUGAUCUGCAGUAUGCUUACUUUCAUCACCUGUGAAAUAGUAAAACUGCAAUUACUUAGUAUUACUGUGAAGAAAAAAAUAAGAUGAUGGACUGGAACAUUAUUCAUGGGUACCGUGGUAACGUCAGUGGUGGUCUAACACUCAGAGAAGACCUUGGGACAGAUACCAGGGUGUCUACCCCAAGGAAGACGCUUACAUCACAUGUCAUUGACUUAGCUGCGGUGGUAACUAAUGACUUCGAAAUGUCAACGUACAAAGCCAGUAAUUAAAGUAUGUUUACAAACAGGAA